GUGGGGAAUUUUGGACAAUGGGCGCAAGCCUGAUCCAGCCAUUCCGCGUGCAGGAUGAAGGCCUUCGGGUUGUAAACUGCUUUUGUACGGAACGAAAAGCCUCUGGUUAAUACCCGGGGGUCAUGACGGUACCGUAAGAAUAAGCACCGGCUAACUACGUGCCAGCAGCCGCGGUAAUACGUAGGGUGCGAGCGUUAAUCGGAAUUACUGGGCGUAAAGCGUGCGCAGGCGGUGAUGUAAGACAGGCGUGAAAUCCCCGGGCUCAACCUGGGAAUUGCGCUUGUGACUGCAGUGCUGGAGUGCGGCAGAGGGGGAUGGAAUUCCGCGUGUAGCAGUGAAAUGCGUAGAUAUGCGGAGGAACACCGGUGGCGAAGGCGGCUUGCUGGACAGUAACUGACGUUGAGGCUCGAAAGCGUGGGGAGCAAACAGGAUUAGAUACCCCUGUAGUCC
rnacentral:rRNA from 1 species